ACCUGAGAAGAGCUGAGCCGUCUGGAGUUUUUGACGAAGGAACCACCCCUUAAUCCUACUGUUAACAAAGAAAGAAGUAAUUCUAUAAAGACAGAAGAGCCCAGCAGUAAAAGACCAAGACUAAUGGAUAAUGAUAGUAGAAUAACUACAAAGCUAGGGACGCAGGUAUAGGAGUUGGUGGUAGUGUUACAACAGACUUUAUCAGAGUUACAAAACUUUAGCAACACAGAGGAUUGUAAUUUGUCAUCAAAUUCCUGGAACAACCUGGAAACAAUUCACUGUAAAAUUACUGAGAUCUUACAGGAAAAGGGGUGAUUUUUUUUGUUUUCCAAGUAAACCUCAUAUAUUUGACUUUAUACUGGAAAUUGUAUAAUUUAAUAUUAUCUGUUGAGUUUGAUUAUAGUUUUUAUCAAU